rnacentral:rRNA from 1 species
AUUGAACGCUGGCGGCAGGCCUAACACAUGCAAGUCGAGCGGAUGAAGGGAGCUUGCUCCUGGAUUCAGCGGCGGACGGGUGAGUAAUGUCUAGGAAUCUGCCUGGUAGUGGGGGAUAACGUCCGGAAACGGGCGCUAAUACCGCAUACGUCCUGAGGGAGAUAGUGGGGGAUCUUCGGACCUCACGCUAUCAGAUGAGCCUAGGUCGGAUUAGCUAGUUGGUGGGGUAAAGGCCUACCAAGGCGACGAUCCGUAACUGGUCUGAGAGGAUGAUCAGUCACACUUGAACUGAGACACGGUCCAGACUCCUACGGGAGGCAGCAGUGGGGAAUAUUGGACGAUGGGCUGAAGCCUGAUCCAGCCAAGCCGCGUGUGUGAAGAAGGUCUUCGGAUUGUAAAGCACUUUAAGUUGGGAGGAAGAGCAGUAAGUUAAUACCUUGCUGUUUUGACGUUACCAACAGAAUAAGCACCGGCUAACUUCGUG